UACGAAGGGUGCAAGCGUUACUCGGAAUUGCUGGGCGUAAAGCGUGCGUAGGCGGUUUGUUAAGUCCGCUGUGAAAGUCGAGGGCUCAACCCUCGAAAGCCGGUGGAUACUGUCGGGCUAGAGUGCGGAAGAGGCGAGUGGAAUUCCUGGUGUAGCGGUGAAAUGCGCAGAUAUCAGGAGGAACACCAAUUGCGAAGGCAGCUCGCUGGGACGUUACUGACGCUGAGACGCGAAAGCGUGGGGAGCAAACAGG
rnacentral:rRNA from 1 species